GUUUGGCCAAUCGAACGGCUAACGACCGUUGUUGCCCGUGGUCACCGGCCUCCGUGGCAAUGGCCGUUGCAGUGCUGGAUGCGUUGGACGAACCGAAUGCUUUCGAGAAACGUACCGGGCACAUCGCUGUCCAUGAAAAGGGUGUCAUUACUUUCAUUGCGAGCUAUCUUGAAGACUAGCUUACAAGCCCCAGUCAGGUUGCUUCCGCUAACAUUCAUCUGCAAUGAGACGGGAACGAUUCAAGCAUCAAGCUACGCUCAUUAAGGUUAUCGAACGUAUGCUCGAACGUACUGCCAGCACUAUGCCAGCCACCAGCAGCAAAAUCUUCGAUGCGGAUGCUUCCACCAAUCCAUACAAUGCUCCCAGCACAGCACCACGCCAACUGCCCUUGGCGUCCUUAACCCGUACGUACAGUUCUUGCAGUAUCUGUCAUAUAAAAGAAUGCCUUAAUGUAAUGCAUCAUUUACGCUUUAACUCUCUCUCUCUCUCUCUCUUUGCACGUACCGCACUUAUAUGAGCGACUGUACUCUCGUCACAUUCUUUCAAUCCGGAAUAUGCUUUCAGCAUUUCCAGCAACGCUUCCGUCGAUGAGUGUAGCAGCAAAUCAUUGCUUCUUCGCAGUAGCUUCGAUUGAUCUUCAAAAGCAUUCUGGGGAACGAUAUAAUGCAGCACGCAUGUGGGUUAUUAACUUCAAACUUGUAUUAAGCUCAAACCUACCUUGCUACGUUCCGGUACGAUCGAGAUGGCUGUCGGAAUUGUCUCUUCAAACGACUGCACCUGUCGUCUUUUCAGGGGAUGAUUCUUCACAAUACUAUUUGCCGGGCUCGGUGCUCCGGGUGAUUCUGCUGCCUUCUUCGACUGCUUCAACGUUUUGCUAUCCGGCAAAUCACGGUCAGUAUCUGAAUGGAAAUAUGGUAACAAAUACUUUAAACACUCAGAUCAAUUGAAUUUAAUGGCUGAACAUGAGCCGGGUGGAAUUUGAUGUCUCCCCUACGUUCUCGAAAAUCGAAAUCAUCCAAGCAAAUUACAAUUGGAGCUUUUUUAUUUAAUGGACUGUUGGCGUUAACAAAAUUUAAAAAUUUGUCAACGUCCGACAAAUAUCGUUUUUUUUUUCGGAGGAUUCGUGUUUGCGUGAUUUCACGGUAGAUGGCGGGCCUGGCAAACUGUGGGCACGAAUAAGCACGAAGCCUCGUAGGGAAUUGCCCGCGUGGCGGGGUCGACGACCGAAGGAAGAAGAAAAAAGAGUAAAAAGGGCUAGCUACGAAAGCGGAGGACGCAAAUCAACCCACGAAACUCGCCGUACUCGCCGUACUCGCCGUAUUUGUACUAAUAAACGUGUUAAUAGAAGUGGA